CUUGAGAACCUUCUGUGUUUGGUUGCCGGGAUGUUGCUAUGGUCACAUUCCAUGUUGGAAUUGGAGUAGUGAACUGUGGAAACAGUGAUAGCUCAGGAUGCCCAGGCUUGAAGCUAGGCUAUCUGGAAAUUCUGGAGUGUGCUAAAGCCACACUGGACAUGGACCAGACAGCUCUGAAGAAACUGGUAGGAUCCAUCAGUGAAACUGUCAAGAGCUCCCACGCAGUCUCACCUGUUGGUUCUCAGUCCUGACAGUGUGUCAGACACUUGUGCACUUGUUCAAAACAGGAUUUUACUAAGU
rnacentral:lncRNA from 1 species